ensembl:snRNA U6 U6 spliceosomal RNA
GUGCUCACUUGGGCAGCAUAUUUACUAAAAUUGGCGUGAUACUCAGAAGAUUAGAAUGGCCCCUGCUCAAGGAUGACACGCAAAUUCAUGAAGUGUUCCAUAUUUUU